rnacentral:rRNA from 1 species
GAUGAACGCUGGCGGCGUGCCUAAUACAUGCAAGUCGAACGAAAGGACGAGAAGCUUGCUUCUCUGAUGUUAGCGGCGGACGGGUGAGUAACACGUGGAUAACCUACCUAUAAGACUGGGAUAACUUCGGGAAACCGUAGCUAAUACCGGAUAAUAUUUUGAACCGCGUGGUUCAAAAGUGAAUGACGGUCUUGCUGUCACUUAUAGAUGGAUCCGCGCUGCAUUAGCUAGUUGGUAAGGUAACGGCUUACCAAGGCAACGAUGCAUAGCCGACCUGAGAGGGUGAUCGGCCACACUGGAACUGAGACACGGUCCAGACUCCUACGGGAGGCAGCAGUAGGGAAUCUUCCGCAAUGGGCGAAAGCCUGACGCAGCAACGCCGCGUGAGUGAUGAAGGUCUUCGGAUCGUAAAACUCUGUUAUUAGGGAAGAACAUAUGUGUAAGUAACUGUGCACAUCUUGACGGUACCUAAACAGAAAGCCACGGCUAACUACGUG